GAUGAAGAACGCAGCGAAAUGCGAUAAGUAAUGUGAAUUGCAGAAUUCAGUGAAUCAUCGAAUCUUUGAACGCACAUUGCGCCCUCUGGUAUUCCGGGGGGCAUGCCUGUCCGAGCGUCAUUGCUGCCCUCAAGCACGGCUUGUGUGUUGGGCCCCGCCCCCCGAUCCCGGGGGGCGGGCCCGAAAGGCAGCGGCGGCACCGCGUCCGGUCCUCGAGCGUAUGGGGCUUUGUCACCCGCUCUGUAGGCCCGGCCGGCGCCUGCCGAUCAACCAAACUUUUUUCCAGGUUGACCUCGGAUCAGGUAGGGAUACCCGCUGAACUUAAGCAUAUCAAUAAGCGGAGGA
rnacentral:misc_RNA from 1 species